ensembl:lncRNA
UUUAACCCGGUCAAAAGUAUUUUAUUGAGAAACUACUAUGUGCCAAUCAUCAGUUGAGAUUCAGAGAAAUCUCAAGUAGUAGAGACUGAGAUAGGUAGAACUGGCAGGAAAGGAAAACAUUUUUCUGAUGUUAAUCUUUCUUUAGAUAAGCGGGUCUUAGCUUUUUCGAGUUCUUUAAAAUAGGAACCACUCACGAGGGGGCAGUCUACAAAUAUUUCCCCAACCAGCCUGCUCUGCUCCCCCGAUUUCUCAGAUCACUCUCUCAUCUUUAGGGCCUGUCAAGACCUGGUUAAAGAAACACCCAGAGGCAGAAGGACGUCAGGCACAGAAUAGAGCACCAUUUCACCAAAAACUCAUCGACUUCCCCACUUUGUCUAUUUUUUUCCUCAUUUCCUUUGUACAUUUUUCCUUAAUCUCUAGUGUGUUUUCCACCCUACGGCAUUUCCAACAAUUCCAUCCAUCUCCCCUGCCAACAGCAUCUUUGGUAUUUAUAAAGUUUGUAGUAAUGCCACAAGUGAAAUUAGAUUAGAACAGAGUGUCUAUUUGACAAACCAAGAAAUUUCAAAACCCUUGCCAGCCAAACUCUCUUAUUGAAAGUCAUCUUUGUUAUGAUGUCUUUUAUGAUCUCUUAAAGUUCAUAGAGUUUGUAUUGGGAUUUGACUUGUAAUAGCCCUGGAAUGUGGCAUCAGGUUCCAUUUUAUAUGGUAAAUUCCAGAAAACUAAAGACCAUAAUAUAUGGUUUUGGUGGCCUGCUUUGAAGAGUGACAUGGGCACUUAGGUGCUAAAUACAUGCUAUUUGAGGAUACGGUCCACGGGAAAUUGGCUUAGAUCACAUUUAUUCACCUGUCUUGGUAUGUUAGUGUAGGGAACUGUGCAGGUAAAGGUCCUUGCCUUCAUCUCUUAACAUAUUCAAUAUGUGCUGACGGUUUUUGUAGUGACGUCAAUACCUAACGAGUACUUACAGAUCCAGGGCAAUCUUCCAAGCACUGACUGGGAACCAGUAGAAAUGGCCUGGAUCCUGCACUCUGGGUGCCUGAUUCAGUACGGAGUCAACCACAGGUGCUCAGACACCACAGCGCCAGCAGAAUGUGGCAACCAUCAUGAGAAAUGUGUAAGGCCAUGUGGCAGGAGUCCCUGGGUGGGAGAGGCCCCUUCAGUGUGUGAGGAGGGCCAGCUUUGGGGAUGAGCAGGUAAAGUGGGAUAGGGGGAGAUGAGAAGCGGAGGCCACAGCUGCCAUCGGGGCACUUCCGUUGUGAGGCUGGUGAGAAGGGCCUGAUGGGGCAGGGAAGGGAGAGGAACACAGAGAAGAGAGAUGUCAAAGGACUUGUGUGGUGAACGGAUGCAGAAUGAGAAGAGGCUCGGCUCUCAGUAAGAAGAGUCAUAACAACCACCCUUUAUCGAACAUUCAACACGUACCAGGCACUUCACUUUUCAUACAGCAGUUCUAAGUAAAUCCUCCUGCCCCCUCGCCCCACCCCCGCCAGUUUACAGAUCAGGACAUUGAGGCCAAAGUCACCCAGCGACUGCAGGUCAGAACUGGGAUCUAACCCGGCACGUGUGACCCCAAGGCGGUGUUUUCUUCACUACCUCAUGUUGUCGAGAAACCGUGAGAACGGUGAUUUCCAAGGCGAAUGGAAACAGGAAUUGGUUUUAGAGCACCGCCACGGUAUCAUAUCUGUUUACUUAUGUGUCUAGUCCAUUCAUUCUUUCACAAAUUCUCCUCAGUAAUUGGUUUGUGCAGUGCUGCUAGGGCGCAGAGUCCUGGUCCCCAGCAUUGCCUGGCAAGCAUAUCUGAGCACAGGACACUGUCCCAGCCGCUGAGUCUUGUGACAAUGUUGACUUAAGCAGAAAUGCAGACACCACCGUGUGCUCACUGAGAAGCCAGGGGAAUGUAGCCCACGAAACCUUCCCCUAACUCGCUUUCUUCCCUUUCCCAAGCCAGGGUGGGAGGCCUCGAGGCGCCCGGGGUUCUUCAUCACACUUCCUGCAUUUCAUGAGAGCUGGAUCUUGGAUGGGCCCAAAGCCCUCGCCAGCUUUGCCCUGGUGGAAUGUUCCCUCCCCUGCCGUCGGCCUCCCAGGCUGCGAUUGCUUCACUUUCUGCCUGCAGCGCGGUGGACCCCCAGGCCAGGCGGCCCUCUGACACGGCCAGGCCCUCUGCAGCUUGGACGUGGCAUUUUUCAUCGUCCCUGGGUUGCUUUUCCUCUCUUUGAGAGCACAGCCUGGACUAUUCCACCUCCCAGGCCCCUGGAAUCUAGCACAUCCCGUGCCACAGCAUCAUUGCAUAAUCCAUCUCUCCCCCUGAACGGGGGGCUCCUUGAGGGUUGAACUGUGUCUAAUUUAGCUGAAAACCGUGGGUCCUGGGAAAAGAUUUGGCACCUGGUGGCAUUCCAUGCAUAUUUGUUGAGCGAAUAAACAAACACAGAGCAUUUGGUGAGGUAAGGGCAAGCCCUCCAAGGGGACAGGCUUGCAGGCUGUUUGGAUCCAUGCCACCAGAACUUCGGGGGAAAUUCAGGCCCAGGGAUAGAUCUCUGCAAACACAAAUAUUGAGAGAAUAUCUGAACCACUGAAGGAAACGCAGGUGAGAAAAGAGUCGGACAUCCCAGGACGGUCCAGAGGGUGAAACGUGCAUCCAAACACUUCUAGAUUAUCAAGCAGAUUAUCCUGACAGCUGCAAUGCAAGCAGAGGCUUUAUUUUCUAGCAGAACUUAGUAGUUAGUGCUGCACUAAAUACAUUUGCUGGGGAAGUUGAAUCAAUAUGACUCAACACUGGGGAGAGGAGGAAAGGCCAGGGAAUUCACAUCCUAUUUUAGCGCAGACUUGUCCUGUGCCACUUCACGUCACUGUCCUACAGCUCGGUGAUGUGGUUGUUCUUCUCAUUUUAAAGACAAGGAAAUUUAGUCUCAGAGAAAUUAAACAAUUACCCACAUCACUGGAAAGUGAAGUCUGGUAUCUCAGACUUCAAAGAGCUGGCUCCUCUUCAUUCGAAGCUUUAAGUGAGGUCCUCCCGUGGCGCCGGCUCUUCUGUUGUCUGCCCAUCUCAGCCAGGCGCUGGAGAAACCUCAGCUCAUUUCAGCUCAGGGCGGGGACAGAAGUUCCAAGGCCCUUGGGGAUGUUACCUCCUCUGCUCUUAGGUCCAAUGCUUUCUUGUCGAUGUCAAGACAAUCUCUACUCGUGAGUCCAUUUUCCCAGCCCUACUGAUGACUCUGUCUACCAACAGAGGCUGCACCUUCUCUGACUUCCAUGGGAGUCUCCUUGAGCACAGCCUGCUGCCUUCUUGCUCUCUUUCACAAGCAGCCUCUUGACCUUUCUCCUAUUCUCUUGUUUUGUGAGGCUCAAGCCAUAAAAAACAAAAACAAAGCAAAAGAAAACCUUCACUAAUUCGAGGCCAUAUAAAAACCUACUAGAAUAAAACAAAUGUUUUUGGUGAGUAAUCCUACAUGAAAAAGAGAUUUAAUUUUAUGGCUUAAUAAGUGCUGACGCGCUGGCCGGGAGAUAAUAGAUGGUCAUCACAUUCAUGCGUUCCCACCACCCUGCGGCCAUGGAGAGAGACCUGGAGAGAAAGGCCCCAAUCCCGCUGGCAGAUGGCUGGGAGCACGAUUUCAGAUAGCGGGAUGGUGGCUUCCCGGCUGGGAUGGGGUGCCUUGCACAAGGAAGGGGAAGACCAUGUGUGCCUGGAGGGUAGGUGAUUUGAUCAAGACAGCUUUCAGCUGGAGUGGCGGAGGGAGAAGAAUGCUCAGAAAAACUGGUGGAACCAGUUACUGUGGAGCAUGGUGGGAGUGACUUGGGAGGCAGAAUGAAGUGCAGGAGGGUGAUUCCCAGGGGAAACAAGCCAGAACCAGGCUUUAGAGCCUCAGCUGAUGCUCUGCCAGUGCCCAGAGCAAGUGAAAGAAACAAAAUGGAUUCCACACCGUGAGACAGACGGCCACUGCAAUCUUAUGGGUGUCCCUGGCAAUCGUAGGGCUGUCUCGUGGCGUGGUGGCAGAAUCGGGUCCAGUGCAGUGAACCGUGGGAGGGUCCAGCCAUAGAGCAUGACAAGAGCUCCCAUCAUGGGCACCUCGAAAUGCACCUGGCCACAGCUGAACAAGCAUCCUCUCCCUGAUUUCCUUAUACUCCCCACCUGGGGAGCAGCAUCAACAUACACUUAGUCACUAAACCAGAAGCCAGACUUCUUUGCCCCUCAUCCCCAAAACAGAUCGGUCACUGCGAUCCACUGACGUCUCUGUAAUCUCUCUCUCCUCUGCAUCCCCACAGCCACUUCCUUAUUUCAAGACCUCAUCUUUUGCCUGGCCACUGUCCCAGCCUCCCAACAGAUCCUCCCGCCCCCCGUUCUUCACAUUAUUGGCGGAGACAUCUUAAUGAAAAGUAAAAGUGAUCAUAUCACUCCCUGCUGAAAAUCCUUCAGGAAUUCCUCCUUGCCUUCAGGGUGAAAUAUAAAAGGCCUUGGC